GAUGAACGCUGGCGGCGUGCCUAAUACAUGCAAGUCGAGCGAACGGACGAGAAGCUUGCUUCUCUGAUGUUAGCGGCGGACGGGUGAGUAACACGUGGAUAACCUACCUAUAAGACUGGGAUAACUUCGGGAAACCGGAGCUAAUACCGGAUAAUAUUUUGAACCGCAUGGUUCAAAAGUGAAAGACGGUCUUGCUGUCACUAAUAGAUGGAUCCGCGCUGCAUUAGCUAGUUGGUAAGGUAACGGCUUACCAAGGCAACGAUGCAUAGCCGACCUGAGAGGGUGAUCGGCCACACUGGAACUGAGACACGGUCCAGACUCCUACGGGAGGCAGCAGUAGGGAAUCUUCCGCAAUGGGCGAAAGCCUGACGGAGCAACGCCGCGUGAGUGAUGAAGGUCUUCGGAUCGUAAAGCUCUGUUAUUAGGGAAGAACAUAUGUGUAAGUAACUGUGCACAUCUUGACGGUACCUAAUCAGAAAGCCACGGCUAACUACGUG
rnacentral:rRNA from 1 species